AGCAGGCGCGCAAAUUACCCAAUCCCGACACGGGGAGGUAGUGACAAUAAAUAACAAUACGGGGUUCUUUAGGAUCUCGUAAUUGGAAUGAGUACAAUUUAAAUCUCUUAACGAGGAACAAUUGGAGGGCAAGUCUGGUGCCAGCAGCCGCGGUAAUUCCAGCUCCAAUAGCGUAUAUUAAAGUUGUUGCAGUUAAAAAGCUCGUAGUUGAAUUUCGGGGUUAGNAGGUUGGUCAUGCCUCUGGUAUGUACUGGUCUCACUGAUUCCUCCUUCCUUAUGAACCGUAAUGCCAUUAAUUUGGUGUUGCGGGGAAUUUGGACUGUUACUUUGAAAAAAUUAGAGUGUUUAAAGCAAGCUAACGCUUGAAUACAUUAGCAUGGAAUAAUGAAAUAGGACGUUCGAUCUUAUUUUGUUGGUUUCUAGGAUUGACGUAAUGAUUAAUAGGGAUAGUUGGGGGCAUUAGUAUUCAAUUGUCAGAGGUGAAAUUCUUGGAUUUAUUGAAGACUAACUACUGCGAAAGCAUUUGCCAAGGAUGUUUUCAUUAAUCAAGAACGAAAGUUAGGGGAUCGAAGACGAUCAGAUACCGUCGUAGUCUUAACCAUAAACUAUGCCGACUAGGGAUCGGGUGAUGUUAAUUUUUUAAUGACUCAUUCGGCGCCUUACGGGAAACCAAAGUGUUUGGGUUCA
rnacentral:rRNA from 1 species